rnacentral:rRNA from 19 species
ACAACGGAUCUCUUGGUUCUGGCAUCGAUGAAGAACGCAGCGAAAUGCGAUAAGUAAUGUGAAUUGCAGAAUUCAGUGAAUCAUCGAAUCUUUGAACGCACAUUGCGCCCUCUGGUAUUCCGGAGGGCAUGCCUGUUCGAGCGUCAUUU